rnacentral:rRNA from 1 species
UACGUAGGGAGCAAGCGUUAUCCGGAUUUAUUGGGUGUAAAGGGUGCGUAGACGGUUCGGUAAGUUGGUUGUGAAAACCCGGGGCUUAACCCCGGAACUGCAACCAAAACUACUGAUCUUGAGUACUGGAGGGGAAUGCGGAAUUCCUAGUGUAGCGGUGAAAUGCGUAGAUAUUAGGAAGAACACCGGUGGCGAAGGCGGCAUUCUGGACAGCAACUGACGUUGAGGCACGAAAGUGUGGGGAG